rnacentral:tRNA from 1 species
GGAGAUGGCUCUGUGGGUAGAGUGCAUGCUUUACCAGGCAUGAGAUCCUGAGUUCGAUCCCCAGCAUCACUU